rnacentral:rRNA from 1 species
UACGUAGGUGGCGAGCGUUGUCCGGAUUUACUGGGCGUAAAGGGAGCGUAGGCGGACUUUUAAGUGAGAUGUGAAAUACCCGGGCUCAACUUGGGUGCUGCAUUUCAAACUGGAAGUCUAGAGUGCAGGAGAGGAGAACGGAAUUCCUAGUGUAGCGGUGAAAUGCGUAGAGAUUAGGAAGAACACCAGUGGCGAAGGCGAUUCUCUGGACUGUAACUGACGCUGAGGCUCGAAAGCGUGGGGAGCAAACAGGAUUAGAUACCCUGGUA